rnacentral:rRNA from 1 species
GGACUACUGGGGUUUCUAAUCCCGUUUGCUCCCCACGCUUUCGCAUCUCAGUGUCAGGUCUCCGCCAGAGAGCCGCCUUCGCCACUGGUGUUCCUCCCGAUCUCUACGCAUUCCACCGCUACACCGGGAAUUCCACUCUCCUCUCGGAACCUCCAGUCCGCCAGUUUCGGCCGACCUCCCCCAGUUGAGCCAGGGGCUUUCACAACCGACUUAACGAACCACCUACAUGCGCUUUACGCCCAGUGAAUCCGGAUAACGCUCGCCUCCUACGUUUUACCGCGGCUGCUGGCAC